UUACAGUUGAUAGAGCAAAUAGAACAUGUGGCAUAUAACGCAACGUAGAGUCAUAACGUAUUGUAAUAUUGCUGACAUUUACGAUAUGAUAAACUGCGGGGUGUUUCUCUGCAAAACAUAUGUAUAUAUUUGGGAUGAAGUUAUGUUUAGUGAGAAUUUAUUGGUGCUAAAACUCAGUCCAUACCGAUUACUGUGUAAUUAUAUUCUAGCUCAUCUAAAUAGAUUGCAACUAAAUUGGGAGCACCGGUUCAGUCGUACUUAGUUAAUAACUGAUCUAGGAGGAGAUAUUCAAUACUUCAUCUACUUCCAAAAGCUUUAUACAUACUUUGAAGCUACCUACUAAUAGAAACACUAUUUAAAUAUUACCAAGUCUUAUAGUAGUUAGGCCCUUUGAAGUACGUUGAUGUGUUUUAGUAGGUGAGAUUU